CUCAGUUCGGAUUGGAGUCUGCAACCCGACUCCAUGAAGCUGGAUUCGCUAGUAAUCGCGCAUCAGCCACGGCGCGGUGAAUACGUUCCCGGGCCUUGUACACACCGCCCGUCAAGCCAUGGAAGCCGGGAGUGCCUUAAGUGCGUGAGCGCAAGCAGCGCCCUAAGGUAAAACCGGUGACUGGGGCUAAGUCGUAACAAGGUACC
rnacentral:rRNA from 1 species